UCACCGUUCAAGUUUCCACCAUGAAAUGAUGAAGAUGGUAAAUAAAUAACUGGAGGAGUUAAAAGAAUUAAAAAAAGAAAGGAGUAUGAAUGUAUGAUGUAUCAUCCUGGUUGAUGUGAGCGUGAGGCAGAGAGUGGAAGUGUAAAUGGGCAGCGUGUGGGUUUGUUACUUCCCGAGCUGCACCACUCUUCCGUGUCGCCACUGCAUGCUCUCUCCAACGCACCUUAUUCAACCCUCAACCUCCAUCUCUCUCCGCGCACGUGCUUCUCAAUCCAUCACCGCAAGAACCACAACAAGGAGAACUCGAAGACUCAAAAGCGACGCCGAGAUCUGCAACGACAUCCGCGAAUUUCUCGCUUCCGUUGGCCUCCCGGAGGACCACAUUCCCUCCACCAAGGAGCUUCUUCUCCAUGGAUGGAAUGACCUUGCUAACAUUGUCCGAAGGAGAGGGCACAAACAGAUUCAGGAGCUUCUCACGAGAAACACGUUGCAUGUUGACUUUGAUGAUGGUUUAAGCGCUGAAACGAGUUUAGAUGGUGCAAAUGGUUUUGAAGAUCCGUUAACAGGUCAGAAUGAGAAGGUGGACUUUUUGGUCAAUGACUUUGAAGCUUCAACUGAAUUUAGUUCUGGUAGUUUCUAUGAUGACUCUGGUUCAAGUUUUGAUGAAGGUGCUUUCGUCGGUGAAGAAGCCUUGGUUAAUUCGUCUGUUCAAGAUGGUCUGAGUGAAGUCAAAGAUCAUUCUGAGGUGGUCAACGAUGUGACGGAGGGGAAUUUCUACCCAGAUGAAGUUACUAUUGAGGAUGAUGAUUAUGAUGGUUCAGGGGAAGGUCUUUAUCCCAACUUCGGUAGCCAAAGUUCCAUCAUGCCUACAGAAAUUUCUGGUGAAUCACCUUUUGAGACGGUGGCUUCUGGAAAUUCUGAGUGUGAGGAUAGCGUAGUGGGCAAAACAGUUGGAGAGUUAACCUUGUCAUUGACGGACAACCAUUCCAGCACUUCGUUUAAUGAUUCUGAUAUUGAUGCUGAAGACGAAGAGUUUAGUCAUUUGGAACCAUUAAUUGAGCAAAAGGACUUGGACGCAUUAGAAGGUCUAGAUAAUGGCAACGAUGAUAUUGCUGAAGAUGUUGCCGCAACCUCUGAAGUUACCGCUAGGGAAAACUCAUCUGGUGACAACGGACUUGAUUCAGUUGUUCAUUCUGCUGACAUCAGUUCUACGAGUUUUGACACUUUGGCCAACUUGUCUUUGAAGGAAAAGGUUGCAAAUUUUAUUCAGAAUGGAGAUUUGGAUCCAGUGGAAGGUACCUAUUCUCCUGAAGAUAAUAAUGUUAUGGCUCAUGGGACAUCCACGCAAGUUGUUCCAUCUGGAGCAUUGGAUUUGAAUCAGCGUCUUUGGGAUGAUCACUUGCCACAUGAAGAUGUAACUACUCAUCUCGACAAGGAUGUGGAUACUGAGGCUCCAAAAGUGCAAAAUGAAAAUGAGAUAAAUCGUCUCAAGUUCAUGCUGUAUCAGAAGGAGUUGGAACUGUCUCAGCUGAAGGAACAAAUUGAGAAGGAAAAGCUUGCUCUGUCUGUCUUGCAAACCAAGGCAGAGGAAGAAAUCAGCAAAGCCAGAAAACUUAUAUCUGAAAAAGAUGUAGAGUUACACGUUGCUGAAGAAAGUCUUUCAGGACUCAAAGAGGUUCAGAUUGAGUUCUGUGGUGAUGCUGAUGUUGUGGAGGUGGCUGGUAGCUUCAAUGGUUGGCAUCACCGAAUAAAAAUGGAUCCUCAACCAUCAACUAGUGCUAUAGACCUUGGUGGAUCAAGGUUCUAAAUUGAACAUGUUCAACUAGUUAUUCUUAACUGAUUACGUAUUUAUAUGAAUUCCAAAUUUUGGUCAACAAUGCUGUGGCUUUAUCCUGGCGUAUAUGAGAUAAAAUUUGUUGUUGAUGGCAAAUGGAAAACGGAUCCGCAACUGGAGUCAGUAACAAGGGGUCAUAUAUGUAACAACAUUUUAAGAGUAGAUAGAUAAUGCAUUCUGGCUCAGGUCACAAUUGCUAGAUGUAUAUAAAAUGGGUACAUAAAAAUCGAAGAUAAUGGUUUGCUGUGGAAUUCAAAAAUCACCAUGUUUGACAGCAAUAUGGACAGGAGAAACAUGCAAGAAGGAGCAGAAUUUAGAUGAGUAAUCUUUUACAACCGUUCUGUAUGUACGUACAUUUGUGUCUGAAACUAGAGAUUAUGACAUCAUCUGGGUCUGUGCAAGAGUUAAUUGGAAAUUAGGAAUUUAGGGCGUGUUAGUAGGGAAGGAUUUGGGUAGUCCGUAAGAGGUCGUAGCUUCAGACUAUGCUAUCAUUGUAUCAAUCAGGGGAGAAUUGUAGUCUCCGUCGUCUUUGUAUUCCUCAUCUCUUGUUUCUGAUAUUCUUUUGGUGGUUUUUAUUGUCAAAGCCACUCACAAAAUCCAGGAUAAAAGUUCGUUUUGUCGGGCUUUGCAAAUUUAGCAA